UACAUUGAAACAUGACACGGUAGGUAUACGAUUUUUUCGUGUACUCUAUGGAUUUAUAGAAAAUGCAUUUAUUUUUCUUUUUUCUUUUUCGUUUUACAAGUCAACGAGAGGAUUUUAAAAUUGAUCCCCCGGGGAGUUUCGCCCGCAGGUCACGCCACUGAAACAGUAACAGUAACCGAAACUACUGUAUAGGUAUACGCGCGCCGCGUGAUCGUUCCGUAAUAACUCGCCUCGCGGAAAUAUUAUUAUAUUAACACGCGCAAUAUUAUUGUCUU